rnacentral:rRNA from 1 species
UGGGGAAUAUUGCGCAAUGGGCGAAAGCCUGACGCGGCAACGCCGCGUGGGGGAUGAAGGUUCUCGGAUUGUAAACCCCUUUCGAUCGGAACGAAUCCCCUCCUGGUAAAUAAUCAGGAGGAUCGACGGUACCGAGAGAAGAAGCCACGGGUAACUCUGUGCCAGCAGCCGCGGUAAGACAGAGGUGGCGAGCGUUGUUCGGAUUUAUUGGGCGUAAAGCGAACGCAGGCGGUUUGGUAAGUCAGAGGUGAAAGACCACAGCUUAACUGUGGCACUGCCUUUGAUACUGCCUUUCUUGAGUGCAUGAGGGGGAAGCGGAAUUCCGAGUGUGGAGGUGAAAUUCGUAGAUAUUCGGAGGAACACCGGUGGCGAAGGCGGCUUCCUGGCAUGUAACUGACACUGAAGCACGGAAGCGUGGGGAUCAAACA